UGCGUAGACGGUUUCGUAAGUCGGGUGUGAAAUCCCCGGGCUCAACCUGGGAAUUGCAUUUGAAACUGCGAGGCUAGGGUACGGAAGAGGGAAGCGGAAUUUCUGGUGUAGCGGUGAAAUGCGUAGAUAUCAGAAGGAACAUCAGUGGCGAAAGCGGCUUCCUGGUCCAGUACCGACGUUCAGGCACGAAAGCGUGGGGAGGCAAAACA
rnacentral:rRNA from 1 species